UACGUAGGGGGCAAGCGUUGUCCGGAUUUAUUGGGCGUAAAGAGCGUGUAGGCGGCUUUACAGGUCCGUUGUGAAAACUCGAGGCUCAACCUCGAGACGCCGGUGGAAACCGUAAAGCUAGAGUCCGGAAGAGGAGAGUGGAAUUCCUGGUGUAGCGGUGAAAUGCGCAGAUAUCAGGAGGAACACCAAUGGCGAAGGCGGGUCUCUGGACAGUUCCUGACGCUGAGGCACGAAGGCCAGGGGAGCAAACGGG
rnacentral:rRNA from 1 species